CGGGGGAUAACUAUUGGAAACGAUAGCUAAUACCGCAUAACAGUAGAUGUUGCAUGACAUUUGCUUAAAAGGUGCAAUUGCAUCACUACCAGAUGGACCUGCGUUGUAUUAGCUAGUUGGUGGGGUAACGGCUCACCAAGGCGACGAUACAUAGCCGACCUGAGAGGGUGAUCGGCCACACUGGGACUGAGACACGGCCCAAACUCCUACGGGAGGCAGCAGUAGGGAAUCUUCGGCAAUGGACGGAAGUCUGACCGAGCAACGCCGCGUGAGUGAAGAAGGUUUUCGGAUCGUAAAGCUCUGUUGNAAGAAAANAACGAGUGUGAGAGUGGAAAGUUCACACUGUGACGGUAUCUUACCAGAAAGGGACGGCUAACUACGUGCCAGCANCCGCGGUAAUACGUANGUCCCGAGCGUUGUCCGGAUUUAUUGGGCGNAAAAC
rnacentral:rRNA from 1 species